CCCUUAGAUGUUCUGGGAUGCACGCGCGUUACACUGAUUCGUUCAACGAGUUUAUGACCUUGCCUGAUGAGGUGGGGGAAUCUUUUCAAAUCGCAUCGUGAUGGGGAUAGAGUAUUGUAACUGUUAGUCUUCAACGAGGAAUUCCUAGUAAGUACGUGUCAUCAGCUCGUACUGAUUAUGUCCCUGCCCUUUGUACACACCGCCCGUCGCUCCUACCGAUUGAGUGUUCAGGUGAAUAGUAUGGACUGCAUCAGUGUUCGGUCUCCGAAUGUUGACGCGAGAAAUUCUGUGAAUCUUAUUGCUUAGAGGAAGGAGAAGUCGUAACA
rnacentral:rRNA from 1 species